AGCACAACGGACUUUGGAGUUAAUCUGACGCCUCUCAUGAGCAAGGAUGUUACAGUGUAUGUCUAGGCUAUGCAGAGGUCCGAUCCCUUAGUGGUCCCACCUAUCAAUGGACUUAAUAGCAGGGCUUCCCUCAUCGAAUGGAAAUACGUUAUCAUUUUUUCAUAGUAGACAGAUUUUCCGAGGCUGCUCAUUUUGUUCCUCUACCCAAGCUUCCCUCAACAAAGGAGGUUCUGAAUUUAGUGUGGGAUAUUUUAAUAUGAUUCAGAAGGAAUGUCAGAUAAUUCAUUUCAUUAGUUUGAGGAUCAGAUACAUACACAACACGAUGUAAAAAAGGGUUUGGCCCAGCGGGUAGAGGGGUGGGUCAUUAUACACAUUCUAAGCUUUCUGAUUGGAUGGUGUCAGGUUAGAAGUCAGGAUUUGAUUGGUUACAGGGUCAGCCAUUCAGGGCUGGAGUGGGAGUGUCGGGUUAGGUUUUAAAUGUGCUGGCGCCAGUUCAUUCAAACCUUUCUAGAACUUUCUCUUAUUGUGAUUUAAGUAUUGCAAUAAACCCUGCUGAAGAAUUCGACAUUUGCUGGCAUCCCGACUCCAUUGUUUGGCAACCUCGUGGUCUUUGUUUAGACGCAAAAGUAGUUGUCCAGUACCGUGGAGUUCCAGCUGGCAUGGUAUCAGCCUGGGGUCCUCAGGUCAUUUCUAGGUAUUGGAAGGCUCUCUAGUCCCUCUUUAACACCUGUCAGUCUCUCCUUUGGGUUCGACCCAGACUGAGAGGAUCAACCAGGAACUAGAAAAGUACCUACAAUGUGCGGUUUCAGCCAGUCCCAAGGCUUGGAGUUGAUUUGGAGAUCGGAAACGUCUCAAUGACAAUACAGGUAAGAUACAGCCCAUUCUUCCCCUCAGAGCAGCUGGAAGUCUGUGUCCCCUCAGCUGAUGCUGCUGCCUUCCUUGUGCUAUUGGUUGGGAACCCGCAGCGGCCAACCCUCCCAGCGCAUCACGAGAUGGUGAAUUCCUGUACACACGAUGCACAGCCAGCAUCGAUGCAAAUCGCCGCAGAAAAAAGGAAAACACAGACCUGCGAGAAUGGCUCCUUGUACAGGGUACAGUUGUUGCCCAUGAGGAAGGCUUCAUUCCCCUGAAAAAUGCUUAUUUUUCUCCUUCUGACUCUCUUGACAGUGGCCCAUUAAAGUCUCCUGCGAUGGCCCUGCCUCUUCAAGUCUGAGUGAGGCUCCACAUGAUGCCAACAAGCUGAAUUGGCGAACCAUUUUGGCUGGUGUCGUCAUUGCCCUCCUUGCCCUCCUUUUCCACGCCCUCCUUGUCCUCGGCCUCCUUGUCCAGGCCCUCCUUGUCCUCGACCGCUUUGUCAUCCUACCAGUUGGUGUCUGCUGGUGGAAAAAGAAGGGAUGUUUCCAGCCGAAGGAUGACAGCAUCAGUAUUGAAAUGCCGUGAGCCAGCCAACCUCCAUUAUUACGGUGCCAGUACCCUCCAGUCCAACCUCUCCUUCGGGUCUUUUCUUUCAGUUUUUUAUUGUUUAUCAUAUCUCAUUUAGAGAAGGCUUAUGCUUACGUACUGCAUUUAAUGUAUUCAAACUGCAAUACUUUAGUGAAAUGCUCAGGGUACUAUGUGCUAUGCACGCUGCUUUGUAGGAUAGAUUAUGCACAUAGUGUUCAACAUGAUACAUGUUACUAGCAAGCUUUUUAUUCCCCUGCACUCAUACAGUUUCAACCCACCAUGACACAUUUCAAAAGCAUCUGAUGAAGGGCUGUUUUCUCAAUACUGUAAAUGCCAUACAUAUAGUGGUCAAAAUCAAACAGAAGGGAACACUCUAAGGUCAGUACAAUGGAAAGGAAGGGAAGUUAUUCACGAGCAUUAAAAACCUAUUUCAUAAAUGCAAACUGUAAACUAUGAUGUGACAGAGAUGCCAGUGAGUCCCACUGAAUGUGU
ensembl:lncRNA